AUCCUUCUAGUACAAAGCAGUACACGUGACUUCCAAUCACUUAAUCUUGGUUAAAACCCAGGGAAUGAUA
rnacentral:tRNA from 1 species